AAAAAAAUUAAAAAUAAAGUGGUUGAUUGAACUGGUAGAGACAGGCAAAUGAAGAGGCGAAAGACAUGAAAUGAUAAUUUUAACAAAAUCUAAGAAUGCGGGGCAAUGCAAUGAUGUGUGAAUGUUGAGGCGGUGAUAGUGGACAACCACCACCUUUCUCUUUCACUAAAACAGAAUACCACUUACAGUCGUUCAAAUCUCAUUCUAACAAUCGCCAUUCGAAAUUAUGCAUGAUUUCAUACAGCAACAUGGCCACCCAAUACAUUCUUCUUAGCAGCGGGCCAUUACCAGAAAGAGAAAAAUAUAAAGCAAGAAUGUCACCGCUUGUUUUGAAAUGAUACUUGGCAAUGCUCAACAGUGGAAAUGGCUGUUUGGCAAGAACCUUCCAGUGCUACACUCCAAUCAGCUCAGUGUAAAGUGGGAUGCUGACCUUCAUUUAUCAUCCACCUCCAAAUCAAAGAAUCCGAACAAGGGAGAUUGUUUUUCAAAGAGUAGAUCAUUGUCGUGUUUCUCACCAACAAUGGUCAAAUCCAAUGAGCCUGAAGACGCUGCAACAUCUGAGUUGCAGACUUCAUCUAUAUCUGGCCCUCCACAGAAUAAUGAGCUUGAAUUAUCUAUUGAUGAUGUUCAUGCAGUGGAAUUGAAUGCAGCUACGGGCAGUCGCAUUGAUGCACAGGUUGUAAGUUUACAGGCAUCUUUAGGAACAUCUAUGUAUAUGACAGAAGCAGAUUCUGCCUGUAGCGAUGAGUCUGGAGAACUAAACCUUGAAGGAAGGCCUUUGAAGAAGAUCAAGUCAUGUGCAUUGAAGUUGGAUACCAAGGGAAAUAAUAAAGGCUUUGAGAAUGAGCAUUUGCAAUUGAAGUGUCCCUCUCAAAGAAUUGGAGAUGGUGCCACAGUCGUUGGUUCAAAUAAUUUGGCUUUGUCUUCUGAUAAGGACAUGUCUUGGGCUCACACAAGAAUCCCUGUGGAUUGGAAGCAGGCAAGAUCAUGGCAAUCAGUGUCUGGGCAUUGUUUAACAUUAUCUGGACCAUCGUUGUCACAGCAACUGACAUAUGGGAAUUUUAGCCAAGUUGGUCAACGCAAUUCUCAUCUCGAGCAGUCAGCAUCACUUCCCUAUCUAUUCUCUAUGUCAAAAUCUAAGGAUAGUACUGAUUUUACUGUGGGAACUAAUCCUUUCCCUGGUAGAGAAGCCUUGGAAAGGCCAUAUUUUCAUGGGAGGCCUAGUUAUUUUGAUAGCAACUGCAAAUCAAGUGAUGAGUCAAUGUUGCACUCUAUUAAUACAGACAUUCAUAUCAGGGAUGAAACAGUUCCAAUCUCAACAGGUUUGCCAUAUGGAAAUAUUUCAGAGCCAGUGACAUUAUAUGAUAAUGGAGCAUUUAAACUAGAUCAUUCGCCUAUUCAACUUGGGAGCACAAAGUUGGCUGAGUGGCAUAUGCCUUUAUCAAAAACUGGGCAGCAUAUUCCAAGAACAGAUUUUCCCAAUAUUAUAUUUCCAGAAAAUGUGACCAUAGAUUUGCAUCCUUCCUGCUCCAUUGAAGGAAACCUGGCACAAGAUUCGAGGUUGUCACAAAGAGGGACAGAAAUUGUCUCUAAUCCCACUACAAUCUUUGGUAUAUCACUGGCACCUAUGUUAUCAACCAUUCAAUCAAAUGCACCUAUACCAGAGAUUCCCUUUGAAAUGCAAUCCAAAUCUGAAAUGGUCCUACAGAACCUACAAGCUUCGUCAUAUUCAGUUACUUGUACCCCUUUCCUCUCUUCUAUGAAACCCAAUGACAAUUUGUUGUAUAAUUCUGGUCCUCCAACCAGCCACUUUGAUUUUGUCCAUUCCUUACAUCAAAAAUCAUCCACUGAUUCUAGCUUUCAAGAUAGAGGACAACAGCCUGGUACUAGCAACAUGUUGAAUACUGCCAAGGACUUCCCAAGCUUGAUUUCAGACCUGAACUUGUCACUACUAUUGCAUAGCAAAGGUCCUUCAAGUAGCUUAACACCAGAAAAUUUUCCUUCUGCUAACAAUUUUUUUGUUGCCACACAAGAAAUGGGCUUAAACCUUUCAGAGCUGUCACAUUCAUCUCCAAACUUCUGUGGCCCCACAGUUGACGCGGAUGAAAAUGCAGUUCCUCCAUCCAUACCUGUGGUGAUAGAAGGAAGAUCUACAGGAGGAAAGGUGUGCCUUCAGAAAUUGGAUGGAUAUGAAAGUUUUGCUCUCACCUUAUCUGACAUGUUUAAGAACAAUGUUGUGGGAGACAACAUGGUUCCUUCUCCAGACAAUUGCAUUCUUUCUAAUGCAAUUCCAGGUUUUGUUAUUGCAUUUGAAGAUGCAGAGGGUGAUCUUCUUCUCGCUGGUGAUCUUUCAUGGAGGCCUCAACAGGACUAUUCCAUGUUGUUCUGGGAGAAAUUACUGGUCUGUGAUGCUUGUACAAAAUUACCUGUAAAUUUGUCUGGAUUGGUAUAAGCCUUAAAAGCUAAAUGUGAUGGUCUUGAAUUAACUUCAAAGUAUACAGGGAUUUUGUUCGUGUAGCAAGGCGUAUUAGAGUGGUACCUGCAAAGAAAAACAAAACAGAAGGAGGUGCAUGAAAAUUCAAUGAAGACCAUAGUUCAUGAAAAUUUGUUAAAAAAUCUCUUUACAGAUGUUAUCAAUCAGCUGACUCAAUAGUUUUUGGUUGCAAUGACUGGAAAUUGCAACAGAAAUGUAUAGAUCUCUAGCAGUUUGAAGCUGGCCAUUAAGAUAUUACAUUUAAAUUUUUUUUUUUUCAAUUUCAGUCUCCAAUGUUCAGAAAUCUCUCAAUGGCACUUCCAUUCAUGCAUUAAAUAAAGAUUGAAGCAACUAGAGUGGUUAUUUGUGUCAUGCUAGAAGCAUGAGUAAUAUGAUCAACAAAGGGAACAUGUGGAAGAUAUGGCUGUUAUAUUACCAA